rnacentral:rRNA from 1 species
GUGGGGAAUAUUGGACAAUGGGCGAAAGCCUGAUCCAGCCAUGCCGCGUGUGUGAAGAAGGUCUUCGGAUUGUAAAGCACUUUAAGUUGGGAGGAAGGGCAGUAAGUUAAUACCUUGCUGUUUUGACGUUACCGACAGAAUAAGCACCGGCUAACUUCGUGCCAGCAGCCGCGGUAAUACGAAGGGUGCAAGCGUUAAUCGGAAUUACUGGGCGUAAAGCGCGCGUAGGUGGUUUUGUAAGUUGGAGGUGAAAUCCCCGGGCUCAACCUGGGAACUGCCUACAAAACUAAUGAGCUAGAGUACGGUAGAGGGUAGUGGAAUUUCCUGUGUAGCGGUGAAAUGCGUAGAUAUAGGAAGGAACACCAGUGGCGAAGGCGACUACCUGGACUGAUACUGACACUGAGGUGCGAAAGCGUGGGGAGCAAACAGGAUUAGAUACCCCGGUAGUCC